CUCCACACGACCCUGCAGCAUUACUUGUUCGUGGUCUUCCGCCAUGGACGAUGACAAAGGCAUAGGGUAGACAAGCCUCUCCCCUAUCCCGCUUCCCCCCAAUCUGCCAGCAGGGUAGCAGAGGCGCGACCUCGCUGUGCCCGCCACUGCCUCACAGCGAGGUCAGGUGCGACCUCAGCCACAUGCUCUCAACCUCAACGCGUGCCCUCGACCAGACCGCAAUUCUGAUCUUUCAAGUUGCAUUCCACUAAGUUAGGGUUUGAAGAAUUUCAUCAAGACAGCUAGAGUCCUUUUAUUCAAAAUGCAUAAAUUUGAUGAAGACUACUAUCAUGAGACUUUUCAUGAGAUGUUCAUUCUCAAUGUUGGUACUGGCUUUAGGCUCCUUUGGAACACCAUUAAAAGUUUUCUUGAGCCAAAAACAACUUCAAAGAUACAUGUGGUACAUAAUGUUGAACCAGCAUUGUUAAAGCAUACCAGAUGAAUGUCAAAAGGAGAUGAAGCCUUUGUAAGGGAAGAAAUAGCAGUACAUGGACAAUUGAUUAUGGAUCAAAUAUUGAUGAUCAAGUUCCUAAAACUAUCGAGCAUAGACAUCUAGCUGUUAUGGGUAUGCUUAUUUCCCUAAUAGUCCAAAUCUCUCCUAUUUAUUUAUUCCUCUUUUCUUUUGUUUUUGCCUAACCAUUUCAAAAAUUUUGUAGGAAAUAUUCAUGUGCCUUUUCUUUAUGGCUCAUUUUAUAUUAGUUUAGGUAUUGAGAUUUGAUCAAUUUUAGCAUCAAUUAGGAUGUUUUCCUUAACAAAAAUAAACAGCUUGCUCAUUUAUUAUUUGUAUUCCAAAACUUGAUUAAACUUUUGCUAAC